AUUCGCUCCCUCCCCCAAAUUGCCCCAAAUCCUAAUAAUUAGCCCCAAAUCUCCCCCGGAACCCCCAAACCCCGCAGUUUAGCCCCAAAUCACCCUGCCCCUCCCCAAUUGCCCCAAAUCCCUUAAAUUAGCCCCAAAAUUCCUCCCCAGAGCCCCCAGCCCCUCCGCAAUUUUCCCCUUUCCUCAAAUUGCCCAAAAUCCCUUAAAUUAACCCCAAAUCUCCCCACGUGGUUGCACCCAGGCCUUUAUUGCAAGGUUAUGGGGCAGGAUAUGGGGCAGGGUGGUGGUGGGGGGGGGGGCGGGUGGGGGGGGGGCUGGGGGGGGGGGGGGGAGAUGUGGGGCAGGCCUGGCCGUGGGGCAGCCAUGGGGCUGGCUAUGGGGCAGAUGUGGGGCUGGGGUAUCUAUGGGGCAGCCGUGGGGCUGGCUAUGGGGCAGGGCAGGGGGGCAGGUGUGGGUCCGAUCUGUCCGUGGGGCAGC
rnacentral:lncRNA from 1 species